UUUAACCAACUCAAACUAAGAGGCACUCCACACACAGAGAGACGAACAAAUACACAGACAGACACAGAGACAUACAGACACACAGACAGACACACACAGACACAGAGACACACAAAAACACAACACAAAUACACAGAUACACACACAGAGACAUACAGACACUUACGCAUAGACACACACACAGACAAAUAGAAACAUACAGCCACACAGACAGACACACAGACAAAUAGAAACACACAGACACACACAAACACCACUUGAGGUUUUGGUGGUGGAGAGUGAUGGCCAGAAGAACGAGGAAUGCAUCACCGAUAGCUGGAGUCUUGUACACAGGUCCGGACGGUAUCACUGAUUACAGACCACACUUAGCUGAUAGCAGAGUCAACUCCGUUGUAAACUUCAUCACUACGGGAAAUCCUAACACAGCCUUUACCAAACACCACGUUGGAUCGAUCGGGUGGGGUGUGGAAAACCUGGCGUGGAUCAAUCACUCAGCCCUCUCCUCCGGACACCAGAUCAAGAGGGGCCCAUUCCUUCAGGCUGCUGAGGACUCUCACAGCCACAACCACCAGCACCCGUGG